UUGAUCCUGGCUCAGGACGAACGCUGGCGGCACGCUUAACACAUGCAAGUCGAACGAGAGAAGAGAAGCUUGCUUUUCUGAUCUAGUGGCGGACGGGUGAGUAACACGUGAGCAAUCUGCCUUUCAGAGGGGGAUACCGAUUGGAAACGAUCGUUAAUACCGCAUAACAUAAUUGAACCGCAUGAUUUGAUUAUCAAAGAUUUAUCGCUGAAAGAUGAGCUCGCGUCUGAUUAGCUAGUUGGUAAGGUAACGGCUUACCAAGGCGACGAUCAGUAGCCGGACUGAGAGGUUGAUCGGCCACAUUGGGACUGAGACACGGCCCAGACUCCUACGGGAGGCAGCAGUGGGGAAUAUUGCACAAUGGAGGAAACUCUGAUGCAGCGAUGCCGCGUGAGGGAAGAAGGUUUUAGGAUUGUAAACCUCUGUCUUCAGGGACGAAAAAAGACGGUACCUGAGGAGGAAGCUCCGGCUAACUACGUGCCAGCAGCCGCGGUAAUACGUAGGGAGCGAGCGUUGUCCGGAAUUACUGGGUGUAAAGGGAGCGUAGGCGGGAUCGCAAGUCAGAUGUGAAAACUAUGGGCUUAACCCAUAAACUGCAUUUGAAACUGUGGUUCUUGAGUGAAGUAGAGGUAAGCGGAAUUCCUAGUGUAGCGGUGAAAUGCGUAGAUAUUAGGAGGAACAUCAGUGGCGAAGGCGGCUUACUGGGCUUUAACUGACGCUGAGGCUCGAAAGCGUGGGGAGCAAACAGGAUUAGAUACCCUGGUAGUCCACGCCGUAAACGAUGAUUACUAGGUGUGGGGGGACUGACCCCUUCCGUGCCGCAGCAAACGCAAUAAGUAAUCCACCUGGGGAGUACGACCGCAAGGUUGAAACUCAAAGGAAUUGACGGGGGCCCGCACAAGCAGUGGAGUAUGUGGAUUAAUUCGAAGCAACGCGAAGAACCUUACCAGGUCUUGACAUCGUAUGCAUAGCUCAGAGAUGAGUGAAAUCUCUUCGGAGACAUAUAGACAGGUGGUGCAUGGUUGUCGUCAGCUCGUGUCGUGAGAUGUUGGGUUAAGUCCCGCAACGAGCGCAACCCUUACUGUUAGUUGCUACGCAAGAGCACUCUAGCAGGACUGCCGUUGACAAAACGGAGGAAGGUGGGGAUGACGUCAAAUCAUCAUGCCCCUUAUGACCUGGGCCUCACACGUACUACAAUGGCUGUUAACAGAGGGAUGCAAAGCCGCGAGGUGGAGCGAACCCCUAAAAGCAGUCUUAGUUCGGAUUGUAGGCUGCAACCCGCCUACAUGAAGUCGGAAUUGCUAGUAAUCGCAGAUCAGCAUGCUGCGGUGAAUACGUUCCCGG
rnacentral:rRNA from 1 species